rnacentral:rRNA from 1 species
UAACGGGGCGGUCCUCUAUGAGGCCCGUCAUUGUAUUGAGUAAAACUCAAAAUAUUUAACGAAACCAAUUGGAGGGCAAGUCUGGUGCCAGCAGCCGCGGUAAUUCCAGCUCCAAAAGCAUAUAUUAAAGUUGUUGCGGUUAAAAAGCUCGUAGUUGGAUCCAUGACCUCGGAGGGCGGUCCCCCACUGGGUGCGUACUGCUGCUCCGAGUCCUAUCUGUCAGUUUGUCUGUGUUGCCUUUAAUCGGGUGGCACAGGUGACUGACGUGUUUACUUUGAAAAAAUUAGAGUGUUUAAAGCAGGCGUUGAAUGCCUGAAUAGUGGUGCAUGGAAUAAUGGAAUAGGAUCUCGGUUCUAUUUUGCUGGUUCAAGAGCAUGAGAAAAUGAUUAAGAGGGACAGACGGGGGCAUUUGUAUUGCUGCGUUAGAGGUGAAAUUCUUGGAUCGUAGCAAGACAAACUACUGCGAAGGCAUUUGCCAAGAAUGUUUUCAUUAAUCAAGAACGAAAGUUAGAGGUUCGAAGGCGAUCAGAUACCGCCCUAGUUCUAACCGUAAACCAUGUCGACUAGCUAUCUGUCAGCGUUAAUAAUGACCUGACAGGCAGCUUACCGGAAACGAGAGUUUCUCGAUUCCGGGGGUAGUAUGGUUGCAAAGCUGAAACUUAAAGGAAUUGACGGAAGGGCACCACCAGGAGUGGAGCCUGCGGCUUAAUUUGACCCAACACGGGAAAACUCACCCGGCCCGGACACCGUAAGGAUUGACAGAUUAAUAGCUCUUUCUCGAUUUGGUGAUUGGUGGUGCAUGGCCGUUCUUAGUUGGUGGAGCGAUUUGUCUGGUUAAUUCCGAUAACGAACGAGAUUCUAACUUACUAACUAGUUCCACGAUCCUUGUGGUCCUAAAUACUUCUUAGAGGGAAAACCGGCAUUUAGUCGAACGAGAUUGAGCAAUAACAGGUCUGUGAUGCCCUUAGAUGUCCGGGGCUGCACGCGUGCUACACUGAAGGAAUCAGCGUGUUUUUCCCUUGCCUGUAAUGGCUGGGUAACCGACUGAAUCUCCUUCGUGCUAGGGAUAGAUCAUUGAAACUAGUGAUCUUCAACUUGGAAUUCCUGGUACGUUUGAGUCAUAAGCUCAAGCAGAUUACGUCCCUGCCCUUUGUACACACCGCCCGUCGCUACUACCGACUGGCAAUAUCUUUGAGACACUUGGAGCGGCCGUGAGCUACCCUAACCGGUAACUCACGGCUGCGAAAAGGUU